rnacentral:misc_RNA from 1 species
GAAUCUUAGAGAUAAAAAGAAAAUUGAGGAAAAAAACGAAAGAGAAAUAUGUCAAUGGCUGCUUUUAUUAAGCUGGAGGAUUCUCCUAUGUUUCAGAAACAAGUGAGGGGUCUUGAACAGACUACAGAUGACCUUAGAGAUCGAUGUCAAAAGCUGUAUAAAGGAUGUAAGAAGUAUAUGGAAGUUCUUGGAGAAACACAGAAUGGAGACAUCAUGUUUGCCGAAUCAUUAGAGGCAUUUGGUGGUGGUCUGGACGACCCUCUCAGUGUGUCCCUUGGAGGUCCAAUCAUAAUGAAGUUUAUCUCUGCAUUGCGUGAGCUUGCUACAUACAAGGAACUUAUCCGUUCCCAAGUAGAACAUGUGCUGGUGGAUCGUGUGAGCCAGUUUUUGUCUGAUGAUUUGCGGGAUGUAAAGGAAUCCCGUCGCAGGUUUGAUAAAGCUGCAUCCACUUAUGACCAGGCACGUGAAAGGUUUUCUUCUCUGAAGAAGAAUGCACGGGAUGAAGUUGUUACUGAACUUGAAGAAGUA